CAGUAGGCCGCGGGAAUACAGAGGGUGCGAGCGUUAAUCGGAUUUACUGGGCGUAAAGCGUGCGUAGGCGGCUUCUUAAGUCGGAUGUGAAAUCCCUGAGCUUAACUUAGGAAUUGCAUUCGAUACUGGGAAGCUAGAGUAUGGGAGAGGAUGGUAGAAUUCCAGGUGUAGCGGUGAAAUGCGUAGAGAUCUGGAGGAAUACCGAUGGCGAAGGCAGCCAUCUGGCCUAAUACUGACGCUGAGGUACGAAAGCAUGGGGAGCAAACAGGAUUAGAUACCCGCGUAGUCCCUGUCUCUUAUA
rnacentral:rRNA from 1 species